rnacentral:rRNA from 1 species
GACGUAGGGCGCGAGCGUUGUCCGGAUUCAUUGGGCGUAAAGAGCGUGUAGGCGGCCAGGUAGGUCCGUUGUGAAAACUCGAGGCUCAACCUCGAGACGCCGACGGAAACCAUCUGGCUAGAGUCCGGAAGAGGAGAGUGGAAUUCCUGGUGUAGCGGUGAAAUGCGCAGAUAUCAGGAGGAACACCAAUGGCGAAGGCAGCUCGCUGGGACGGUACUGACGCUGAGGCGCGAAAGCGUGGGGAGCAAACAGG